ensembl:lncRNA
GGUUCAUUGAGUUUCUGAUUGACAGCGUGGGAGAGAAGAUGUCGUCUGUCGCCCAGCAGCAGAGAGAACGAACAGACAUUCGUAACUCUGGAGUUGCACUUGACUGCGUCAUUAGAGACGCUCACACGUCCCGAUGAACUUGGGGUUUGAAUUUGCUUUAUUUGUAGAGAAUUGAACUUGUUUGUGCUUUGAGUUGCCUGACAUCAUUUUUUAGAAGCAUUCAUGUUUUAAUCAAAAUGUUCCAUAUCGGAAACAUGUUCAUUGACUAAAUAUUCUCUUCUUCUUCCGCCUGAUGUCUGAUUACAGGAGGAAGUGAGUCAACAAUUGAAAUCAGGCUUAAAAUGUCGACUGAAACCUUGGUGUGUCAUUAAAUACACAAACGCUCAUUAACUCAAGAUCAUUGUUGUUUCACUUCAUUCAAGUCAACGAGUAAUAAAGAACAUGUGAUUCUCUUUGGUCUGAAGAAAACAAGACGGAUUCAUUUGGUUUUAUUUCUAUUAAAAUUUAUUUUCAUUAAAAUAAUAAACAGACGACAUAUUUAACAAUAAUAAUAACACAAUCAUUGGGAAAACAUCUGAAGCAGUUCCUGAGAAGAGAGAAAAGAAGAAAAGUUAUUAACAUGUUAAUGUUGUUAGUGUGUCUGUGUGUACAUCUAAUUGUUAGUGUGUCUGUGUGUACAUCUAAAUGUUAGUGUGUCUGUGUGUACAUCUAAAUAUUAUUAUGUCUUUGUGUACAUCUAAAUAUUAGUGUGUGUCUUUGUUUAGUACCAAAUGUUAGUGUGUCUGUGUGUACAUCUAAAUGUUAGUGUGUCCCGAUGACGUGGCGUCCUGAUGGCGUCCUGUUGGUCUGCAGACAAGGAGAAGAGACGUGAGGAGGAUCAUCAGGAUGUGUCCGUGUGUACAUCUAAUUGUUAUUGUGUCUUUGUGUACAUCUAAAUAUUAGUGUGUGUCUUUGUUUAGAACCAAAUGAUAGUGUGUCUGUGUGUAUAUCUAAUUGUUAUUGUGUCUUUGUGUACAUCUAAAUAUUAGUGUGUCAUUGUUUAGAACCAAAUGAUAGUGUGUCUGUGUGUACAUCUAAUUGUUAUUGUGUCUUUGUGUACAUCUAAAUAUUAGUGUGUGUCAUUGUUUAGAACCAAAUGAUAGUGUGUCUGUGUGUACAUCUAAUUGUUAGGCGUCCUGAUGGCGUCCCGAUGACGUCCCGAUGACGUGGUGUCCUGAUGGCAUCCCGAUGACGUGGUGUCCUGAUGGCGUCCCGAUGACGUGGCGUCCUGAUGGCGUCCUGUUGGUCUGCAGACAAGGAGAAGAGACGUGAGGAGGAUCAUCAGGAUGUGUCUAUCUGGAUUUGCUCCUGAGGGGUUGACGCGGCGUCCUGAUGGCGUCCUGAUGGAAUCCUGAUGGCGUCCCGAUGACGUGGCGUCCUGAUGGUGUCCUGAUGACGUGGCGUCCUGAUGGCGUCCUGUUGGUCUGCAGACAAGGAGAAGAGACAUCUGGAUUUGCUCCUGAGGGGUUGACGUGGCGUCUGAUGGCGUCCCGUUGGUCUGCAGACAAGGAGAAGAGACGUGAGCAGGAUCAUCAGGAUGUGAGACAAGAUUCAUAGAUCCAAUUAUUUUAAUUUGAUGCACAUUUUAAUUAUUUCAUGUUUGUAUGGAUGUGUAAAUCUACAUUAUAUAUUUGUGGUUGUUAAACUGUAUUUCUGUAUUUGCUUUUUAUGUUUAGCUAGUCUCUGUGCAUACCAAUAUGUUAGUGCGUCUCUGUGUAAGUACUUUUUACAUUACAUUACAUUUCAUUUAGCUGACGCUUUUAUCCAAAGCGACUUACAAUAAGUGCAUUCAACCAUAGGGUACAAACUCAGAAGUGCAAUUUCCUCAAAUAACUUUUAUAUGUUAGUGCGUCUCUGUGUAAGUACUUUUAUAUGUUAAUGCGUCUCUGUGUACAUCUACAUGACAA